ACACUCCUGCGGGAGGCAGCAGUAGGGAAUCUUCGGCAAUGGGGGCAACCCUGACCGAGCAACGCCGCGUGAGUGAAGAAGGUUUUCGGAUCGUAAAGCUCUGUUGUAAGUCAAGAACGAGUGUGAGAGUGGAAAGUUCACACUGUGACGGUAGCUUACCAGAAAGGGACGGCUAACUACGUGCCAGCAGCCGCGGUAAUACGUAGGUCCCGAGCGUUGUCCGGAUUUAUUGGGCGUAAAGCGAGCGCAGGCGGUUUGAUAAGUCUGAAGUUAAAGGCUGUGGCUCAACCAUAGUUCGCUUUGGAAACUGUCAAACUUGAGUGCAGAAGAGGAGAGUGGAAUUCCAUGUGUAGCGGUGAAAUGCGUAGAUAUAUGGAGGAACACCGGUGGCGAAAGCGGCUCUCUGGUCUGUAACUGACGCUGAGGCUCGAAAGCGUGGGGAGCGAACAGGAUUAGAAACCCCGGUAGUCCCAUGA
rnacentral:rRNA from 1 species